GGCCCAAUAGCUCAGUCGGUAGAGCACUUGACUUUUAAUCAAGGUGUCCCGCGUUCGAGCCGCGGUUGGGUCACCA
rnacentral:tRNA from 1 species